rfam:Ailuropoda melanoleuca scaffold549_70, whole genome shotgun sequence.
UCUUAGUGUCCCUGGGAGACAGAUAGGCUUCUGCACCCUAGAAUCAUCCUGACAUUUUAAUAGGUGUUGCUCAGCCCUUGGAUUUAGUCAUCUCAAAGAUCAUGGCUUUCUGGCUGUUUUUCUUUAGAGUGGCUGAUUGUCACAGUACUGUCUUCCUUGGUUUAGGCAAA